UCGGUCACAGCCCAGAGCAUCCUCCUGCACCUCAAACCCCUCAUCCCCAGCCCCACCCCAGAGCCCGCACCUCCAGCCGGAGCCCUCAUGCUCUGCCUCAGUGUUAUAUAAUAUUGUUUGGGUGAACUACCAUCAGUUCCUCCUCUAUCACAGAGCUCGUUGAUAAGAACUCCAAAGCAGAAGCAGGAGGGCAAAUAGUGGAGCAUGCACAGGGACAUACAUCUCGAAGAACCACAGAUACUGCACAAGAGCAGUUCAUUUCUAAACUUUGGAACACUGAGGAGCCAUUGAGGUGGAGAACCUGAAGAUUGGGGUGGAAGAUCAGUCCCGCAUCUUGAGAGAGGAAGUGAGAAAUGGGCUGGAGAGUGUUUGGCAGGCAAAUUGCCAUUUGAGUAAGAUGUGUAAAUUCCCCAGGAACGGAACGUGGCUCUGGAAUCUUUUAAUGUUUGGUGGGAUUCUUCUGUUCUGUCUCCAAAUAA